GGUCACCUGGUACAGGCGAGGGGGUAGCCUGCCUCCCCACACCCAGGUCCACGGCUCCCGUCUGCGGCUCCCCCAGGUCUCACCAGCUGAUUCUGGAGAAUAUGUGUGUCGUGUGGAGAAUGGAUCGGGCCCCAAGGAGGCCUCCAUUACCGUGUCUGUCCUCCAUGGCACCCAUUCUGGCCCCAGCUACACCCCAGUGCCCGGCAGCACCCAGCCCAUCCGCAUCGAGCCCUCCUCCUCACAUGUGGCUGAAGGGCAGACCCUGGAUCUGAACUGUGUGGUGCCUGGGCAGGCCCACGCCCAGGUCACAUGGCACAAGCGUGGGGGCAGCCUCCCUGUCCGGCACCAGGUAUGGGACUGGAAGACAGACAGGCCAAGAAGAGGAAGUGGGUCCCUGGGUGGUGGAGGUUACUGGGGGAGGGCUAGAGGCUCCCCUGAGAUCAGGAAGCCCUGGACCCCAUUGCACAGAUGUAUAGCGCAGUGGUUAGAAACCAGAAUCUAGGACUGACUAACCUGGGUGUGAAUUCUGGCUCCACCACUUAGCUUGUGACCUCGGACAAGUUACUUAACCUCUCUGUGCUAUA
rnacentral:sRNA from 1 species